rnacentral:rRNA from 1 species
UACGAAGGGGGCUAGCGUUGUUCGGAUUUACUGGGCGUAAAGCGCACGUAGGCGGGUUGUUAAGUCAGGGGUGAAAUCCUGGAGCUCAACUCCAGAACUGCCCUUGAUACUGGCAACCUAGAGGCUGGAAGAGGUUAGUGGAAUUCCCAGUGUAGAGGUGAAAUUCGUAGAUAUUGGGAAGAACACCAGUGGCGAGGGCGGCUAACUGGUCCAGAUCUGACGCUGAGGUGCGAAAGCGUGGGGAGCAAACAGG